GGACAGUGGAUGGGCUUCACAUAUGAGGAAGUUAACUUUGCUGGUCUGCCCAGAACACUAAGGAGUUGAAAAAUGAUGGAACACAUUAUAUCGCUAUUUUGGAUCCCUUUCUGACGAAAGAUGAACGGCAGAGUACUGAGAAGCCCUAUGAGCUCGGACGGGAGAUAGAUCUGGGUCAAUAGCCUGAAGGAGUCACGCCAGCUAUUGGCAAGGUCUGGGUUCCAGGGGAUUGUUACCAGGCAAGACAACCACAGAUGGCAGAACAGGGUCUCCGGAUGUGUGUGGACUUUGAGAAACGUCCUUGAUCAUGAGGGGAGCUGGACUGCUUUUCUUUCCAUUUUUCCUCAUCUCUGCCCGCAUUCUGUGAGCUGAUCAGUAUGCAGCCUCCAUCUCAACUUCUCUGUGAAG